rnacentral:rRNA from 1 species
CUUUCCAAGGAGGUUGUCGUCCAAGUCGCGUCCCUUGAGACCUCCCAUGCCAUCUGGACGGCUUUGGCGAACAUGUUCGCUGUUGUCUCUCUGUCGCGCAAUCUUCGGGCCGCUCUCACCAGCGCGCAAAAUGGUACCCAGUCCGCCUCCGCCUACUUCGGGCAUAUGCGUUCUCUCUCCGAUGAACUCGCGGCAGCGGGUAAACCACUUGGGGAGGGGGAACUCAUCUCUUUCCUCAUCGCUGGCCUCGACAUGGAUUAUCAUCCCAUCAUAUCAGGUCUGGAUGUUCGCACCGAGCCCGUUACUGUCGAUGCUCUCUUCUCUCUGGUCGCUCACUUUGAUCAGAGAGUUGAGAUGUUUCACGGUGGUGGGGCUGGGGGUUUUAAAUCCUCAGCCAACAUCGCUUCCCGCGGGCAAUCAAGCGGCAGCAAGGGCAACUACCGCAACCAAAAAGGAGGUGGCGGUGGUAGUGGCCCUCGCGGUGGCGGCGGCCACGGCAACAACAACGGCUAUGGUGCUGGUCCAGGCGGCGGCUACAACAGCGGUGGUGGCGGCGGCCAUCCUCAGAACGGCGGCGGCGGCCACUACCAAGGCGGCAGUGGUGGUUGCAGCUACUACUAG